GUGCAAACUAAAAUUGGAUAAUUGUUGGGUUGCACUCCAAUCAUCAAUGGGUACGAUGCAGGUCGAGAGGCUCCUCGCUAGUCGUCUGGAUCCUGGGAAGUGAAGUAGUCCUUUGGUGUAUUUUGGUUUCCUGUUGUAUAUAUGUAUUUAGCUUACUCUCCAAGUAACUUAUAUAUGCUGCUCCUCUUAGAGGUUGAGGGAGAGAUAGGAGUUUAUUUUGGUAUUUCGGUAUCUUUUGGGGAUACCUAUGUAUGUUCAUAUGUAUAUAUAUAUUUCCUCUGGCAAGCCUUAGCUUCGCAAGCUAAGUCAGGGGCUAGUUAUGCUAUU